rnacentral:rRNA from 1 species
UACAGGGGGUGCAAACGUUGCUCGGAAUCAUUGGGCGUAAAGCGCACGUAGGCGGUUCGUUAUGUCGGAUGUGAAAGCCCUUGGCUUAACCGAGGAAGUGCAUCCGAAACUGGCGAGCUAGAGUACUAAAGAGGAUCGCGGAAUUCCCGGUGUAGAGGUGAAAUUCGUAGAUAUCGGGAGGAACACCGGUGGCGAAGGCGGCGAUCUGGGUAGAUACUGACGCUGAGGUGCGAAAGCUAGGGGAGCAAAUGGG